GCAAAGUGUUAGAGAAGACUGCAAAUGAUGACUUAAAUCAGUAAUUCAUGUUUUUGCAGUUCAAUCGGCGACGGAUAUGGAGUAUAUGGCUGGAGAUAUUUGGAGAUUGAGAGCUCAGGAUGUUGGGGAAGGAAGUGUAAAAAUUAGUUGGGUGGCAAAUGGUGUCGUCGGUUCUCCUGCUUUUGCAGCCUUUGAUCAAGGUUAUGAUGUUUUUCUUGGAAACUUUCGUGGAUUAGUUUCGAGAGAACACAUCAACACGAAAAUCUCAUCUUGGACCUGUUGCUGCAUUUUUCCUGCUCCUAUUUGACCCCAUCAGUUUUAGGUGAGGCGGACGGCUUUAAAGAUGACAAACGAGUUAUUUUACCUAUGAGUUCUGUUGAAGAGUGACGAAUUGUGAAGAAUUGAAGGUUUUAGUUUAUAGUGAUGAGAUUGGUUUUAGUUUUAAAGUUAAUGUAGUAUAAAGAAGUUUUAAAAAUAAUGAGAAAUUAUCCAUUUUGU